AUGGCCCUUACGAGUAGGGCUACACACGUGCUACAAUGGCGUAUACAAAGAGAAGCGACCUCGCGAGAGCAAGCGGACCUCAUAAAGUACGUCGUAGUUCUGAUUGUAGUCUGCAAUUCGACUCCAUGAAGUUGGAAUCGCUAGUAAUCGUAGAUCAGAAUGCUACGGUGAAUACGUUCCCGGGCCUUGUACACACCGCCCGUCACACUACGGGAGUGGGUUGCAAAAGAAGUAGGUAGCUUAAUCUUCGGGGGCGCUUACCACUUUGUGACUCAUGACUGGGGUGAAUUCGUAACAAGGUAACCGUAGGGGACCUGCGGUUGGAUCACCUCCUUACCU
rnacentral:rRNA from 1 species